UUGACCUCAAAUCGGGUGAGACUACCCGCUGAACUUAAGCAUAUCAAUAAGCGGAGGAAAAGAAACUAACAAGGAUUCCCCUAGUAACUGCGAGUGAAGCGGGAAAAGCUCAAAUUUAAAAUCUGGUGGUCUUUGGCCAUCCGAGUUGUAAUUUAGAGAAGCGUCUUCCGCGCUGGACCGUGCACAAGUCUCCUGGAAUGGAGCGUCAUAGAGGGUGAGAAUCCCGUCUUUGGCAUGGACACACCAGGGCUUUUGUGAUGCGCUCUCGAAGAGUCGAGUUGUUUGGGAAUGCAGCUCAAAAUGGGUGGUGAACUCCAUCUAAAGCUAAAUAUUGGCGAGAGACCGAUAGCGAACAAGUACCGUGAGGGAAAGAUGAAAAGCACUUUGGAAAGAGAGUGAAACAGUACGUGAAAUUGUUGAAAGGGAAACGCUUGAAGUCAGUCACGUCGACCGAGACUCAACCUUGCCUCGGC
rnacentral:rRNA from 2 species